AUAUACCCCUAUAGGCUAUUCACACUGACGACCAUCGACCAUCCAUUUCGGGGAUGGUCCGUAAGGUUUUGCCGUUCAAUUUCUCAGUUAGUCCGCCAUCCAUUUUGGAUGUUCCUAAACCGCACGUUUCUAUGCGAUAGUUAGCCGAUGGUUUUUAAAUGCAACUCUGAAUAAUUGUCACUCACAACGAAAAAAUGGUUAUUACUGCGAAAACGUAAACAAUGAUUGUGACAAAAUAAACAAAAAACAACAACAAUCAUGCUCAAUGGCUCGGAUGCAUUCAAGGCUGGCGAUGAGAUUGAAUGCGGCAUGGCCGAGUCUGCCAGGCUGAAGUUGCAAGUGUGUGGCGAAUAAAUGGCAGACGACUGCCAACAUAGAACAAAUAUUGUGAGUUUUUUUCGAACAUUAUCGAGUCGAAUCUGGACGGAUCAUGUAGCUCCAGCAGAAGAACCUUCACAGGAAGAAGGAAGAACAUGAUAUGAGGCAGGAAAAGAUAGCCUCAUCCACACGCAAAAAAAUUCCAGAAUGAUUUAUUGGAAGUGCUGAGAAAUAUAAAUAAAUAAGUAUUUGCAUUAUGGUCUAAACAAUAUUUUGCGAUUGCAGAUCGUAUCUGUUCUGCUGACUGAUUAAAAUCACCAGAACUGUUGCUGUUAUCGGGCUGUUCGCAUAUUUUGCUGUUGAAACACGGCCGAAAUAAUUGCUACAUCUUCAUCAACCAAAAAUUAAUAAAUCUUCCGCGCAAAUUUAAUGCACUUGUUAUUGGCAUUAGCUGUUUUUGACGGAUGGUGGAUGGUGCCAGUGUGAAUCGGAGUUUUACAUCUGUCAAAAAAUCCCACCAUUCCCCCGGGAUGGACUCAGUGUGCAAAGCCUACUAGACUCCUUAUGAGUAUCGGGUAUAAACAUAUUCAACUUAGUAUUAUAAAGUUCCUAGACAUCUUAGGAUGUCUUUAUCAAAUUGUUUUUCUAUAAAAACCAAGCUAGCUGUUUUUGUUUUUUAACAGAAUUUUGCGUAAGCGGGAACAUGUAUAAAAACGCGAAACCCGGCUCCCCCUGAAUAUAUUCAAGAAACUUUUUGAGCUUGUCUCAGAAAAACGGACAUAUCAGAAACUAUUAAAUGUUGUAUGUUGUAAUUGUAUUGUUGUAUGUUGCUAUAUACAUUUUUCACGAAUUCUGUUGUAAUUUAAAACUAUCAAGCUUUCAAAUAUAUUACCACUUGUAAUGCGAAUGCACCCAGUUCCCAUAACGCGGAGAGGAUUUUUUCGUCUACUUUUCCAGACUCAUCACUUUGGGCAGCAUCAUUAAUUUC